AUACGGAGGGUGCAAGCGUUGUUCGGAAUUACUGGGCGUAAAGCGCGCGUAGGUGGUCUGUUAUGUCAGAUGUGAAAGUCCACGGCUCAACCGUGGAAGUGCAUUUGAAACUGGCAGACUUGAGUACUGGAGGGGGUAGUGGAAUUCCCGGUGUAGAGGUGAAAUUCGUAGAUAUCGGGAGGAAUACCGGUGGCGAAGGCGACUACCUGGCCAGAUACUGACGCUCAUGUACGAAAGCGUGGGUAGCAAACAGGAUUAGAAACCCUAGUAGUCC
rnacentral:rRNA from 1 species